CCUACGGGUGGCAGCAGUGAGGAAUAUUGGUCAAUGGACGCAAGUCUGAACCAGCCAUGCCGCGUGCAGGAUGACGGUUCUAUGAGUUGUAAACCGCUUUUGUACGGGGGUAAACGCCGCUACGUGUAUCUUUCUGACAGUAUCGUACGAAUAAGGCUCGGCUAACUCCGUGCCAGCAGCCGCGGUAAUUCGGAGGAUUCAAGCGUUAUCCGGAUUUAUUGGGGUUAAAGGGUGCGUAGGCGGUCGGGUAAGUUAGAGGUGAAAUCCCGAGGCUCAACUUCGGAAUUGCAUCUGAUACUGUUCGUCUAGAGAGUGGGUGCGGUAGGCGGAAUGUAUGGUGUAGCGGUGAAAUGCAUAGAGAUCAUACAGAACACCGAUUGCGAAGGCAGCUUACCAGGCUACAACUGACGUUGAGGCACGAAAGCGUGGGGAGCAAACAGGAUUAGAUACCCGGGUAGUC
rnacentral:rRNA from 1 species